GGGUCAGUAGGUUGGUCGUGCCACCGGUACGUACUGGUCUCACUGAUUCCUCCUUCCUGAAGAACCGUAAUGCCAUUAAUUUAGUGUAGCGGGGAAACAGGACUGUUACUUUGAAAAAAUUAGAGUGUUUAAAGCAAGCUAACGCUUGAAUCGAUUAGCAUGGAAUAAUGAAAUAGGACGAUCGAUCCUAUUUUGUUGGUUUCUAGGAUUGACGUA
rnacentral:rRNA from 1 species